rnacentral:rRNA from 1 species
AGAGCGAACGCUGGCGGCAGGCUUAACACAUGCAAGUCGAACGGAUCCUUCGGGAUUAGUGGCGGACGGGUGAGUAACACGUGGGAACGUGCCUUUGGUUCGGAACAACUCAGGGAAACUUGAGCUAAUACCGGAUGUGCCCUUCGGGGGAAAGAUUUAUCGCCAUUAGAGCGGCCCGCGUCUGAUUAGCUAGUUGGUGAGGUAAAGGCCCACCAAGGCUACGAUCAGUAGCUGGUCUGAGAGGAUGACCAGCCACAUUGGGACUGAGACACGGCCCAAACUCCUACGGGAGGCAGCAGUGGGGAAUCUUGCGCAAUGGGCGAAAGCCUGACGCAGCCAUGCCGCGUGAAUGAUGAAGGUCUUAGGAUUGUAAAAUUCUUUCACCGGGGACGAUAAUGACGGUACCCGGAGAAGAAGCCCGGCUAACUUCGCGCCAGCAGCCGC